UACGUAGGGUGCGAGCGUUUGUCCGGAAUUAUUGGGCGUAAAGAGCUUGUACGGCGGUUUGUCGCGUCUGCUGUGAAAAUCCGGGGCUCAACCUCGGACUUGCAGUGGGUACGGGCAGGCUAGAGUGUGGUAGGGGAGACUGGAAUUCCUGGUGUAGCGGUGGAAAUGCGCAGAUAUCAGGAGGAACACCGAUGGCGAAGGC
rnacentral:rRNA from 1 species